GACGAACGCUGGCGGCGUGCCUAAUACAUGCAAGUCGAACGCAGUGGGGACGGGUGAGUAACACGUGGGUAACCUCCCCUCAGAGGGGAUAACACUUGGAAACAGGUGCUAAACCGAUACUGAUGGAUGGACCCGCGGUGCAUUAGCUAGUUGGUGAGGUAACGGCUCACCAAGUCCACGAUGCAUAGCGGACCGGAGAGGGUGAUAGGCCAGCCUGGGACUGAGAUACGGCCGAGAAUCCGACGGGAGGCAGCAGUAGGGAAUCGUCGGCAAUGGACGAAAGUCUGACCGAGCAACGCCGCGUGAGUGAAGAAGGGUUUCGGAUCGUAAAACUCUGUAGUUAGAGAAGCGGUAUCUAACCAGAAAGCCACGGCUAACUACGUGCCAGCAGCCGCGGUAAUUC
rnacentral:rRNA from 1 species